rnacentral:rRNA from 1 species
UACGGAGGGUGCAAGCGUUGUCCGGAUUUAUUGGGUUUAAAGGGUGCGUAGGCGGCCCGUUAAGUCAGCGGUGAAAUCCCAGGGCUCAACCCUGGAACCGCCGUUGAUACUGGCGGGCUUGAGUUCGGUGAAGGCGGGCGGAACUGGCGGUGUAGCGGUGAAAUGCUUAGAUACCGCCAAGAACCCCGAUUGCGUAGGCAGCUCGCUGUGCCGAAACUGACGCUGAGGCACGAAAGCGUGGGGAGCGAACAGG